GACGAACGCUGGCGGCGUGCUUAACACAUGCAAGUCGAGCGGUAAGGCCCCUUCGGAGGUACACGAGCGGCGAACGGGUGAGUAACACGUGAGCAAUCUGCCCAUCACAUCGGGAUAACUCCGGGAAACCGAAGCUAAUACCGAAUACGACCACCUCCGGCAUCGGAUGGUGGUGGAAAGUUCCGGCGGUGAUGGAUGAGCUCGCGGCCUAUCAGCUUGUUGGUGGGGUAACGGCCCACCAAGGCUUCGACGGGUAGCCGGCCUGAGAGGGUGACCGGCCACACUGGGACUGAGACACGGCCCAGACUCCUACGGGAGGCAGCAGUGGGGAAUAUUGGACAAUGGGCGAAAGCCUGAUCCAGCAACGCCGCGUGAGGGAUGACGGCCUUCGGGUUGUAAACCUCUUUCAGCAGGGACGAAGCGCAAGUGACGGUACCUGCAGAAGAAGCACCGGCCAACUACGUG
rnacentral:rRNA from 1 species